rnacentral:rRNA from 1 species
UACGAAGGGGGCGAGCGUUGUUCGGAAUCACUGGGCGUAAAGGGCGCGUAGGCGGCCCUCCUUGUUGCGUGUGAAAGCCCCGGGCUCAACCUGGGAACGGCGCGCGAGACGGGGGGGCUGGAGUUCGGGAGAGGAGCGUGGAAUUCCCAGUGUAGAGGUGAAAUUCGUAGAUAUUGGGAAGAACACCGGUGGCGAAGGCGGCGCUCUGGACCGAGACUGACGCUGAGGCGCGAAGGCGUGGGGAGCAAACAGG